rnacentral:rRNA from 1 species
UACGGAAGGCAGCAGUGGGGAAUAUUGGACAAUGGGCGCAAGCCUGAUCCAGCCAUGCCGCGUGAGUGAUGAAGGCCCUAGGGUUGUAAAGCUCUUUUGUGCGGGAAGAUAAUGACGGUACCGCAAGAAUAAGCCCCGGCUAACUUCGUGCCAGCAGCCGCGGUAAUACGAAGGGGCUAGCGUUGCUCGGAAUCACUGGGCGUAAAGGGUGCGUAGGCGGGUCUUUAAGUCAGGGGUGAAAUCCUGGAGCUCAACUCCAGAACUGCCUUUUGAUACUGAAGAUCUUGAGUUCGGGAGAGGUGAGUGGAACUGCGAGUGUAGAGGUGAAAUUCGUAGAUAUUCGCAAGAACACCAGUGGCGAAGGCGGCUCACUGGCCCGAUACUGACGCUGAGGCACGAAAGCGUGGGGAGCAAACGAGGAUUAGAUACC